GCUUCUCAGAAGAAAACAGACUAACGUGAGGACAGACUCCAGGAGAAGAGCUUCAGUUCAGAAAAGAACUGCGGAAACUGCACAAAGUUCAGGCUAAAGGGGGUCUGCUGAUUCUAGCUUGGCAUUUCUCUACGGCAGUGAGGGAAGCGUUGAGAAUCACAUUAUUUUCUGAAAACGGCACCUUUUGAAUCAGUUUUUAAAAGGUCAUUUGUUCACAUAUUGACACUUAUUAAGAAUUAAAGAUGUCAUAAGAGAAGAUACUAUGAAACGGAUCAAUUGGAGGAUAUGUUCCACUAAAAUGAGGGAGUGAGCCAAUCAAAGGAAGAGACAGAGGCCUGAAAAGAGGGGAGGACAUUGUGAAGGGGACGAUGAGGACGAUGGUCUGCCGUGGAGAAGGAGGGUAGAGAAGCUGGACUGACAUCUCCAGAGGAAAGAAGGUAGCUGUCAGAUACAGAUGGAGACAUUUGUCCAAGAUCCAGGAGACCAGGAAGACCUUCCUGCCCUCAAGUCCAAUAAACCAACCAGAA